rnacentral:lncRNA from 1 species
GGCGAGGUGGGGGUGGGGGUCGCGCUGGCAACCAGCACGCACGCGCACCCGCGCUCGCGCUGGCCUCUACCGGCCGUAAGCUGGAGGUUCACAAGGCGCUUCAUCUGCCCGGACAUGGUGAAUAACGUACGUACGACGUACUCAAUAAAUAUAAUGCCCUCUCUUUUCCCCCCGCUCGGGUCUCGAGAUCAAGCCUACUAGCUAGUGGGCGGUACCACGCCCCCGCAAAGAAAGGUUCGGUUUUCUAUCCAUACUCGCAAN